GUGGGGAAUCUUGCGCAAUGGGCGGAAGCCUGACGCAGCAACGCCGCGUGGGGGAUGACGGCCUUCGGGUUGUAAACCUCUUUCGCGAUCGACGAAGCUCGCACUUUUGGUGUGGGUGACGGUAGGUCGAGAAGAAGCACCGGCCAACUACGUGCCAGCAGCCGCGGUAAUACGUAGGGUGCGAGCGUUGUCCGGAAUUAUUGGGCGUAAAGAGCUCGUAGGCGGUGUGUCGCGUCGGCCGUGAAAACCUGGGGCUCAACUCUGGGCGUGCGGUCGAUACGGGCAUCACUGGAGUUCGGCAGGGGAGACUGGAAUUCCUGGUGUAGCGGUGAAAUGCGCAGAUAUCAGGAGGAACACCGGUGGCGAAGGCGGGUCUCUGGGCCGAUACUGACGCUGAGGAGCGAAAGCAUGGGUAGCGAACAGGAUUAGAAACCCUUGUAGUCC
rnacentral:rRNA from 1 species